rnacentral:SRP_RNA from 1 species
UGGGGUGAUCCGCGUAAUUGGCGGGGGUGAACCGUGUCAGAGCCGAAAGGCAGCAGCACUAAGCACCUAAAGAUGUACGCGGAUCACUUUACCC